rnacentral:rRNA from 1 species
UGGGGAAUAUUGGACAAUGGGCGCAAGCCUGAUCCAGCCAUGCCGCGUGAGUGAUGAAGGCCCUAGGGUUGUAAAGCUCUUUCACCGGUGAAGAUAAUGACGGUAACCGGAGAAGAAGCCCCGGCUAACUUCGUGCCAGCAGCCGCGGUAAUACGAAGGGGGCUAGCGUUGUUCGGAUUUACUGGGCGUAAAGCGCACGUAGGCGGACUUUUAAGUCAGGGGUGAAAUCCCGGGGCUCAACCCCGGAACUGCCUUUGAUACUGGAAGUCUUGAGUAUGGUAGAGGUGAGUGGAAUUCCGAGUGUAGAGGUGAAAUUCGUAGAUAUUAAAAAGAAUACCGGUGGCGAAGGCGACUUACUGGGCUCAUUCUGACGCUGAGGAACGAAAGCGUGGGUAGCAAACAGG